UCUAACUCUCGCUUGCGCCUCCUUUCCCCCACGCCUCUUUCUCUCAAAUCUCCCUUCUCUCUCGCCUCUGCCGGAAACGGCCGCCACCGCCGGCACCGAUCAGCCGCCGGCCCUCCGGCCAUCUCUCCCUUCUUCCCUUCUCUCCUUCUUUCCUCUCUUCUCACUCUCUCUUUCGGUCUCCCUCUCAGCCAGCACCGCCGCCGGCUGGAAACUGCCGCUGCUGUCGUCGGGCUGCCGCCGCCGCAGCGCCGGCCGCCGUCGCCGUCGUCGCUCGGGAGAAAUUAAGAGGGGUUGAAAAGGAGCCAAGAAGUGUCGUUGUUUGCCGGAUUUCGCCACCACCGCCGGAUGCUGUCGCCGCCGCCGACCCGGCGCUGCCGCUGUUGCUGACAGAGGACAGAAACUCCAGCCAGGUGAAUUUCUUACCGAGUGAUCUUGAAUGUGGCGACAAGAUACAUAAGGCUCCUCUCCUCUCAUUCUUCAUAAUCAUCAUGGUGUUGGGGACUUUGUUCCUCUGAUUCUAAUUAACUCACUGUUGGAGCAUGCAUGGGGAGGGAUUGUUCUUGCAAGAUUUUGAAUGAUGAUAAUGCGUGUGUGCUUUGGUGUCACCACAAAGAGAAUGGCGUCAAAGUUGUUGAACCAACCUGAAAUGCCCCGCAAGAGGUCCCCUCUUCUGCUUGAAAUUACUAAUUGGGCUCGAGGUAGCACUACUAGUCCAAACCAUUGAAGGGGAAACAAAUAAACAAAUUUCUGUUAGGAGAAAGCAUAGAGACGGCGCUGUGCCACUUUUUUUAUGCUAGCCUUUAUGCGCAAGGUCAAAUGAGCCCUUUAUGCAAACCAGGCCACUUUUCACAUUCACAACGCUUUUAUGAGUUUUCUAGAGAAUCGGUCCACCCAGAGCUCAAAUGCAUUUCCAAUUCCCCGCUUCGUCAGGAAUAAGUGGUAGCAUUUACUCAUCUAGCCUUGUUAGCAUUGGAAUUGGUGCUAUGCCCUAAACACCGGAAAUUGGCUCUGAUGAUAUAGAACCUGUUGGAUCCCAGAUUCCUUCUAGUUCCUUCAUCUCACAUUUCAAUUGGCGAAGGUCCACAAACUCCUGAAAACGACAUCAUUCCUUCAUUCUCUUUUGCUUUGGCUAGCUACUAAUGGAACCUUCCAGUUGUGCAAAAGAAACUGGAAAUGCUGCAUAUCCUACUAAUGCAACUCUGUCUUCCUAGCAUCUUGGGACUAAUGUCUCUGAGCCAUUUAUGUACCAUACUAUCUCAGAGAAGGAGUUGAGGAGGAGCUAACUUCUAAAGGGGUUAUUAGUGUAGACUUCGUUUUUCUCAAGGGUUGAUCUGCAAACUUAGUUGUUGCUUACUAACUUCUGAAGUCCUAGGUUUCCCGUGCUUCAAAUAAGUGAUAACAGUGUUCUUUGUUGCCCGAUUUCUUGAGCUAAGGAGAGAGAACUAUUCCGGUUUUGAAAAAUUAAUUUAAAAAGCCAUAGGGCCGAUCGACUGAAUGAGAGCUUUAUGAGUUGCAAUCUUGUUGAUAUUGGUGCAUAAAGAUGAUUUAGGCAAUAUGAAUAAAGACCUCAUAUCCAAAUUAUCACAUGCCUGACCUUGCAUAAACCCCUAGUAAGCCAAUUUGAGCCCCAAAAGCCUAAUUUCUUUGUUGAAUAUUUUGAAGUCCUUAUAUCUGCUUACCUAUUAUAUCCAUUUGUUGGCCUAUAUUUUCUACCCUAGUCACUAAAAUUAAAGUGCUAGCACAUUCUUGGGAGGGUAUUAUGGUGGCAAGAAAAAGAUGGAGGUUUUGUACCAUUCAUUAGGUGGUAUUUAUUUAUACUGAGAUACAAAGGGAGUGAAUAGCUGUCCCCUUCAAACGAAAAUAGAAUAAAAAGGCAGCCUUUCAUGAGUAAAAAAAAAA